UUUCAGAAAUGGAGUCGGAGUGGCGUUAUUCAGUGGAGCUGUCGGGACUGGCACGGGCUCGGAAGGAACAGACCUGAAUGAGAUAACAGACCCAUUCCACCUCUUCAAGGCUCGUGAACCAGUUGCUACUUACAAUCAGAAAAAUAUCUGCAGCAGCAAUGUAUUUAGAACAAUGUGUAGCUGAUACGUUGAGUCUGUGAAAUAUCUUUUUUUUAAAUAAAUUCUUUCUGCUUUUCGUGAAAAGGAAUAUCAAAAUAGAACCUUCAGUAAGUAUGGGAGCCUGUGCGUUCCAGUCCCCACAUCGCUGCGCAGAGUUGCAUUCCGUAUAGCUGUCAGGAUCCGCUGGUCUCGGGUUCGAUUCUAAGAUUCGCCCCUGGUCUGUCAGCACCUUAUCCACACUUGCAGGUCUCACGUACUGGUACCCAUCUACGACCUGCAUCACUUUAGGCCCCAUCAGGCCGUCAAUCCGUCAUCUUGAUGAACUAGAUUUCAAAGCAAGUGUUAAACCGGCUAAAGCACUGAAUUCAAACAUAUUGUUUAUUCAUGGCAAACUGAGAGGUCUUAGACCCAUAGUUCAACAUAAUUAAACUAAAGCUCUCACACUUAAAUGUUUUCUAUUCCUGAUCAUGUCAGAGGCGCUUAUCAUCCACACGACAGACAUGAAGACGCCAGUGUUUAGAACGAAUGGAGCGAGAUAUCUCUAUAUUUGUCGUCAUUAGAUAUAUUUCUUCAUUGGAUAUACAAAUUUCCAUUUUCCUGAAAACAAGAACUGUAUAUCUGAGUAUGCUAGAAUACCCGCAUUCCUUGCAGAAUGUCUUCAUGUGUAAGGCGACUGAAGACCUCAGAAUGGGACCGUAUACAGUGAAACCUGGUUAACUCGAAUUCCUUGAACAUAUUGUUUAAACAAUUUAAUUAUCCGCACUACGCUUGUCUCUAGGACUUCGAGUAAACAAGACUUCACUGUAUAUUAAAGUGCCGGAAUAAACACCGUACUCUUUACGCUAUAGUAAAGCCACAAUCGUUGUUUAGUAUUUUUGUUAUUUUCCCCAAAUCUUCUAUUUCUAUACUUGCUUUACAGUUAUGGAUGCAAUGAACGUUCAUCUGUUGUUGUUUUAAUGUUCUUGUUUGUUGCGUCGUUUUGUCUGUUAAAGUUUUGUGUUUCUAAAGUGAUGCCCCUUUGACAAGCUCAAUAUAUGUUUCGUUGUCAAAAAGUAUAAUACGAGUAAUAUAUACAUAUAUAUAUUAUUUAUUUCAUAUCAAUUUCGACUUUGUUCUUCCAGAUGAUCAUGAGGUAACGAAUGUUGUUUCAUUUCUUAUACAACUAAUCCCUGAAAUAUUAUCAAGUUUAUGUUCGUAGUGUCAUCAUAACGUGUACAAUUGACAUGACAUAAUCUGAUUUGCUGAACAGACAAAAGUUCGUGAAGUGCAUGUUUAUAUGAGUUGAUGAAAAAAUACAAUGACACCUCGUUAAUUUGAAUCCCUUUAAUCCGAAACAUCAUUUAAAACGACGUGACUUCAUAUCUACGGAAUCGUGGAUAAUGUGGUAUAAUACUCUUUGUUUAUCUCGAAAUAAUCUUAAAUAAUAAUAUGUGCUAUCUUAUUGACAACUGUUUCGAACUACGGUACCUGUUUUCGUUGGUUCCAGAACUUUAAAUGAACGGGGAUUUAUUGAAUUUAGUGUUUUGAAAUGUAUUGGUAUGUUUUUAUGCAUUUACUUUAUGAAACAUAAUUUAGAUAUAAUUGCCAAAUAUGAAGGAUAUUUGAAAAUGUAGAGCAGUAGGUUGUAACUGUAAGAACAGGAAGUUAACAAUCUACAUUGUCGUUUAUAGCCACCAUGUAUAUAAUGUACAUUUGAUAUGUAAAUAUUUGUAUAUCGUUCUUUUUACUGCAAAUUGCAGGUUGAAUUGCAUUUAUUAUAUCUAUCUAAUUUUUUUACUGGGGCCAGCCACCCAAAAGUCCACCUCUCCUUUCAUAAAUGUGAAAGUGCUAAUACGUGUGCCCCUCUGACGUCAUCUCUUUUGUUGUGUACGUCAGCUGUUAACUCAGUUACAAUCUCAUACAGUAUUAUAGGAACUGAGUGUGAGUAAGUCUUGUUAUGAAAUGAAAAAAACACACUUUGAAAAGCGGUAUUUUGAAUGAAAUCUAUGUGUUCCCAGUCAAUGAGGGACCGGUCAAUAUAAUCUGGUCGAAGGUGUUUUUUUGCUGGGAUGGUAUUUCAGUUCUAACAUAUUAUAAAAUUGCAUGGUUUCCUUAAAACACUGACCCAGUAUCAACAAAAGUUUCUGAUGAGUUAAAAAUCAAAAAUAUUUGUCAACGACGAAAAAAAUAAAUGAUCGGUCCCUCGGGUAGGACCGGGGUUCAAUAACGCCUGAAGCAUGUAUAUGUGCAGCAGAUGUUCUGGUUCCCUUUAAAGAAGACAUAGCAACACGCAACCCGACACUGGCUGAAAUAUUCCGACUGGGAGUCCAACAUGACAGACUCACACCCAGCGUUCAUUAAUUAGAUGUCCUAAUACUCCAUCUCACUCUUUCUAUUUGUACAGCACUUUACAAUAAACUGUUCAAGAAAACAUCUUGUCAAUCAGUU